ACAACUUCCACCAUUCCAAUCCCUUGCAUGACCGUCCAUUGUCCUCAUCUAUGAGAUUCAGACCACCGAAGAUACCUCCAUUUCUUCCUACUGUCUCCUCUGAACAGGAUUUUACCCAUAUCAAGCCCAGAUUCAAGAUGGGCAAUCCCAGAAAGCAUGUUCAGUACUUUCAAUCUCCCCUAUACAUUUGGGGCAACUUGCAGAUCUUACCAGUCUUCUUUGAAAUAGAUUAAGUUGAGUAGGGAGAUAAUUGUUAAAAAAUCACCAAUUCAUAAUCUUGAUUUUUGAGGGUAGCUCCAGCCUCUAUAGUUUUUUUGUAAAUAGGGCUAUAAUCUUGUAAUAAAUUUUUAUAUCCAUUGUGCACUGAGAAUUCCCCAGAAACUUUGCCACACCACACUAAUUUAUCCAUCUUUGGGACACAUAGAAGAGGAAUACACAAAAUUCUAUAUGCUUCUUCCGCACUAAAGGUCCUAGAAUCCAAGCAUCCUUCCAUAUUGAAAAUUGGCUUCCGAUCCCACUACCCAACAUAAUCCUUUCUCAAGAAGACCUCUUGCCACCCAAACACUUUUCCAAGUAUAUGAAGGUAUAUUUCCCAACCGAGCAUUAACAAAAUCUGAAUUGGGAUAAUAUUUUGCUUUUGAAGAAUGAGCCAAUAAGGAAUCCAAAUAACAUAUUAAACGCCAUCCUUGUUUCGCUAAUAAUGUUACAUUAAAUUUUGACAAAGACCUAAAUCCCAAUCCCCCGUUUCCCUUUUAAUUC